GGGUCUGUAGUAUACUGGUAUUAUGUCGGCCUCCAGAGCCGAAGAAGGGGGUUCGAUUCCCUCCAGGCCCA
rnacentral:tRNA from 1 species